UUUUUUUUAUCUUUAUUUAUAAUUUUUUGGAGGAAGUCUUGUUGUUUAAUCCUUUUUUUUAGGAACUUGUUGUUUAAUCCUUGAGGAACUAUAUAUGAUACAACUUAAUAAUGUUUAGUCGUGAAAUAUUUUAAAGUGGAAUAUAACCAAAUUAUUUUAAUUAAGAAGUAUAUCAAUCAUAUAUGCUAGAGCAUUUUUUUUGUGCCAAUCAUAUCCUAGAGUUAGAAGUGAAAGACAAUUAAUUAAUAAUUUUUGUGGUGUAAAUU
rnacentral:lncRNA from 1 species